UACAGAGGUGGCAAGCGUUGUUCGGAAUUACUGGGCGUAAAGGGCGCGUAGGCGGCCAUCUAAGUCAGACGUGAAAUCCCCCGGCUUAACCUGGGAACUGCGUCUGAUACUGGACGGCUUGAGUAUGGGAGAGGGAUGUAGAAUUCCAGGUGUAGCGGUGAAAUGCGUAGAUAUCUGGAGGAAUACCGGUGGCGAAGGCGGCAUCCUGGACCAUUACUGACGCUGAGGCGCGAAAGCUAGGGGAGCAAACGGGG
rnacentral:rRNA from 1 species